AUCCCACUCUCCAAUCUACCAAAGAAUCCUAGAAUUGUUAUAGGUGCAUAAUUUUGUGCCUUAGGUCUGAUUUUGAUCCAGAUUGAUAGUUGGUCCUGUCUAGAUAUCAAUUCUUAGCUUCUUAAGAUAAAUUUUGUUGAAAUCUACUUUCAAUUCUCUCCGACACAUGUCUAUAUUUUUUAAUUUUCCAAUAUACUUUUUUUUGGAUUAUAUGUGGCCCUACAAAGUAAGUAGAAGCUUAUUUUACAAAAGGGCAAUAUUAAAAUCCCUUUGUUUGCUAUCUUUUUGAAUAUUUUUUAAAUUUCUAAGAUAAUUUUUUAUAAU
rnacentral:lncRNA from 1 species